GAGUAACACGUGGGUAACCUGCCCCCAUCUCUGGGAUAACUGCUGGAAACGGUGGCUAAUACCGGAUACUACUGCUGGUCGCAUGGCCUGGUGGUGGAAAGCUUUUGCGAUUGGGGAGGGGCUCGCGGCCUAUCAGCUGGUUGGUGGGGUGAUGGCCUACCAAGGCGGUGACGGGUAGCCGGCCUGAGAGGGCGGUCGGUCACAUUGGGACUGAGAUACGGCCCAGACUCCUACGGGAGGCAGCAGUGGGGAAUUUUGCACAAAGGGCGGAAGCCUGAUGCAGCGACGCCGCGUGAGGGAUGACGGCUUUCGGGUUGUAAACCUCUUUUAUCCAUGACGAAGGUCAGGUUUUUGCCUGGUUGACGGUAGUGGUUGAAUAAGCGCCGGCUAACUACGUGCCAGCAGCCGCGGUAAGACGUAGGGCGCGAGCGUUGUCCGGAUUUAUUGGGCGUAAAGGGCUCGUAGGCGGCUAGUAGCGUCUGCCGUGAAAGACCACAGCUUAACUGUGGUUUUGCGGUGGAUACGGGCGGGCUUGAGGCCAGUAGGGGAGAUCGGAAUUCUACGUGUAGCGGUGAAAUGCGCAGAUAUGUGGAGGAACACCGGUGGCGAAGGCGGAUCUCUGGGCUGGUUCUGACGCUGAGGAGCGAAAGCAUGGGGAGCGAACAGGAUUAGAUACCCUGGUAGUCCAUGCUGUAAACGGUGGGCGCUAGGUGUGGGGUGGCAUUGGUUCACUCUGUGCCGUAGCUAACGCAUUAAGCGCCCCGCCUGGGGAGUACGGCCGCAAGGCUAAAACUCAAAGGAAUUGACGGGGGCCCGCACAAGCGGCGGAGCAUGCGGAUUAAUUCGAUGCAACGCGAAGAACCUUACCUGGGUUUGACAUCACCCGGAAAGCUCCAGAGAUGGGGCCCUCUUCGGACUGGGUGACAGGUGGUGCAUGGCUGUCGUCAGCUCGUGUCGUGAGAUGUUGGGUUAAGUCCCGCAACGAGCGCAACCCUUAUCCCGUGUUGCCAGCAAGUAGUGUUGGGGACUCGCGGGAGACUGCCGGGGUUAACUCGGAGGAAGGUGGGGAUGAGGUCAAGUCAUCAUGCCCCUUAUGUCCAGGGCUUCACGCAUGCUACAUUGGCCGGUACAGCGGGUUGCGAUACCGUGAGGUGGAGCGAAUCUCUGUAAAGCCGGUCUUGGUUCGGAUUCGAGUCUGCAACUCGGCUCGAUGA
rnacentral:rRNA from 1 species